rnacentral:rRNA from 1 species
GUGGGGAAUUUUGGACAAUGGGCGCAAGCCUGAUCCAGCAAUGCCGCGUGCAGGAAGAAGGCCUUCGGGUUGUAAACUGCUUUUGUACGGAACGAAACGGUCCUGGUUAAUACCUGGGGCUAAUGACGGUACCGUAAGAAUAAGCACCGGCUAACUACGUGCCAGCAGCCGCGGUAAUACGUAGGGUGCAAGCGUUAAUCGGAAUUACUGGGCGUAAAGCGUGCGCAGGCGGUUUUGUAAGACAGGCGUGAAAUCCCCGGGCUCAACCUGGGAAUUGCGGUUGUGACUGCAAGGCUGGAGUGCGGCAGAGGGGGAGGGAAUUCCGCGUGUAGCAGUGAAAUGCGUAGAUAUGCGGAGGAACACCGAUGGCGAAGGCAAUCCCCUGGGCCUGCACUGACGCUCAUGCACGAAAGCGUGGGGAGCAAACAGGAUUAGAUACCCUGGUAGUCC